rnacentral:lncRNA from 1 species
CUUCAGUCAGAAAUGCCAAGAAUGAUUAAGGAAAGAAAAAAAAAAUGUGUUCUUCCAACAGAAGGAGAUUAGAUGAGACUCUUUUCCCAGGAAUCCUGAUGGAGUGAACUCAGUCUAGAUCUGAACAAGAAGGGGGAAAGCAGGUUCCAAAAGCAAGUGGGCUAACGAGUACUCCUGGCAGAAGUGGGAAGAUUGGGCUUGCGAGGUUGCUUGGAAGUGUCCAGAUUGAGGGGCUUCCCGCAGUUGAUGGGUUUACCAAGCUGGCCAAAAGCUCCACCGGUAAUCACACUUUGAGCCUGCAAUUGUCAGAGUUGGUUCCUCUAACACUCCUGGAAUUUAACGGCAGGGUACAGAGUCUGAGGGCAUUGAGGAAGCCAGGCGGGGGUGGCGGGGUGCUGGCCAAAGGAUUGGGGAAUGGAUAUUUCCUUCCAUCUUAAGAAAGGACACGAGAUACUGUGCCAGGUGCUUUACACAUAUCAUUGAAUCUUUCACAACACAUUUAUGAGAUGUAGUAUUCUCCUCGUUUUAUGAGGAAACAGGUUCAGAGAAGUGAAGCAACUUCCUCAGAGUUAUAGAACUAAUAGAUUGUGGAGUCCAGAUUUGAGUUCCAGUGUUUCUGAACCCCCAAUCCGUCCUUUUACUACUAUACCAUCAAGUGGAGGAGGAAAUCGCCUUCUGGGAAGGAAUUCCACACUUGAACAAGGGCAGGUUGACUUUCACUGGGCAGCAUCGAUCCACCCUGCGCUCCCUGCAGACACUCUCCCAUCAGUUUGCACAUGCCCUGAGUCUAGAAGCCACAUCAAAGAUAAUGUGUUUGCGCCCAGGACAGUGCUGCCCCCAAAUGGGCAUGUUCCUCAGGUAUGGAAAAUAUUACAUUGAGAAUCUUAUCUUACUCUCCCCUAAAACUGUGGCGUAUUCUUACCUGUGACACUUGGGUGAAGGUCUAGAAGCAUAAACGGGGCUCCAGAAAGUCAGCGAACGGCAGCCUGGACCCUUUGAAGUCAGAAGGGCUUCCGACUAGGAGCGGACUGUUAGGAAGGAAUGAUCUUCCUAUAAAUGGUGUGGAUAAGAUGAGCACAGACUUGUUCACCAGAUCCUGAAAUACAGCAGCAGCUUGGAAGCACCAGAGAGGCAAGUUCAAGACAAGUCAGCGGAAAUACUACACUGCGUAGCAGGUAAUGAAUUUAAGGAAUGGAUUAUCUCCCAGAGGUGGUACAAGCUGGCAACGUAAAUGGAUUCCAG